GACAUGGCCGAGUGGUAAAGUAGAGGACUGCAAAUCCUUUUUUCCCCAGUUCAAAUCCUGGAAUAGCCUGAUCAACA
rnacentral:tRNA from 1 species